ACAGAGGGUUCGAUCGGCUCAGAUUGAACGCUGGCGGGAUGCUUUACACAUGUGUCGAACGGCACGGACUUCGGUCUGGUGGCGAGUGGCGAACGGGUGAGUAAUGUAUCGGAACGUGCCUAGUAGUGGGGAUAAUCACGCGAAAGCGUAGCUAAUACCGCAUAAUACACCCUUCGGGGGAAAGCGGGGGACCUUCGGGCCUGGCACUAUUAGAGCGGCCGAUAUCGGAUUAGCUAGUUGGUGGGGUAACGGCUCACCAAGGCGACGAUCCGUAGCUGGUUUGAGAGGAGGACCAGCCACACUGGGAUCAUAUACAGCCCAGACCUACGGGAGGCAGCAGUGGGGAAUUUUGGACAAUGGGGGAACCCUGAUCCAGCCAUCCCGCGUGUAGCAUGAAGGCCUUCGGGUUGUAAAGCACUUUGGCAGGAAAGAAACUGGCACGGAUAAUACCCCGUGCAACUGACGGUACCUGCAUGAAUAAGCACCGCUAACUACGCCAGCAAAUGCAUGUAGGGCGCAAGCGUUAAUUUCCGGAAUUACCGGGCGUAAGCGUGCGCAGCAGGUUCGGAAAGAAAAGAUGUGAAAUCCCAGAGCUUAACUUGGAACCGGGUAUUUUUAACUACCGAGCUAGAGUGUCAGAGGAGGUGGAAUUCCGCGUGUAGCAGUGAAAUGCGUAGAUAUGCGGAGGAACACCGAUGGCGAAGGCAGCCUCCUGGGAUAACACUGACGCUCAUGCACGAGUGGGGAGCAAACAGGAUUAGAUACCCUGGUAGUCCACGCCCUAAACGAUGUCAUCUAGCUGUUGGGGCCUUCGGGCCUUGGUAGCGCAGCUAACAGUGCGGAAGUUGACCGCCUGGGGAGUACGGUCGCAAGAUUAAAACUCGUAAGAAUGGAUGAAUCGCACAAGCGGUGGAUGAUGUGGAUUAAUUCGAUGCAACGCGAAAACCUACCUACCCUUGACAUGUCUGGAAUCCCGAAGAGAUUGGGAGUGCUCGCAAGAUAUCCGGAACACAGGUGCUGCAUGAAGCAAUGCCGGGCUCGUGUCGUGAGAUGUUGGGUUGGGUCCUGCAACGAGCGCAACCCUUGUCAUUAGUUGCUACGAAAGGGCACUUCCACGAGACUGCCGGUGACAAACCGGAGGAAGGUGGGGAUGACGUCAAGUCCUCAUGGCCCCUGCUAGUAGGGCUUCACACGUCAUACAAUGGUCGGGACAGAGGGUCGCCAACCCGCGAGGGGGCCAAUCCCGAAACCCGAUCAGUCCGACUGCAGUCUGCAACUCGACUGCGUGAAGUCGGAAUCGCUAGUAAUCGCGGAUCAGCAUGUCGUAGUGGAAUACGUUCCCGGGUCUUGUACACACCGCCCGUCACACCAUGGGAGUGGGUUUUACCAGAAGUAGUUAGCCUAACCGUAAGGAGGGCGAUUACCACGGUAGGAUUCAUGACUGGGGUGAAGUCGUAACAAGGUAA
rnacentral:rRNA from 1 species